rnacentral:lncRNA from 1 species
CCGCCGUGUGCCGCCGCUCACAUGCCACUGCCGACAGCCUCACCGAUACCUAGCUGCGGAUACACCUCCUCCAUCACCGAUAUGUGCCCCUGUUUCAACCUCACGUCACCGGCCGACCUCCUUCAGCGCCACCGGGAAUGGCUCACACCCUCCUCCCUCAUGCCCACGGAUCGACGCUUGCCCAACGCCCAGUUCAUCAAGAUCUUCACCACAUGGUAUGUCUCUCUUGCGCCUCACCUGCGAUACAUCGGCAUCUGUCACCACCUGGUCCUGAGAUUUCCGUCAUGGGAUGUGUGCAGGCAGUGGUACAAAGAUAAAUUGUGGGACGUGAAGCAGCUGGUGAGUUCCGGGGGAUGCCACCGUCGCAUCAAACGUCUUUCCGCUUACAGGAAGGUUUCAGAUGCUCCCUCUUCGCCACCACUCCAUCUCCAGUAUAGUAGCUAAUUAUAAAUUUAUAAGUCAAGACUAAAGUUUUCAUAGGAAUUUGAAGACUGCACGUCUUGGUUCAGUUAUUGAUUAUACAGGACAUAGGGAAACAGCAAGUGCCUUAAACAACCUGCUAAAAUCUUGAUUACAUAGCCAUGGUGGUGAUAUUGUCUGGCUAUGAAGAUCAAGGACGGAGCCAGAUUUGGAGCAUGUUCUGGGCUGGUGAUUGUAAAUUUGCUUUGUGACAUUAAGCAACACAUUUUCUCUCUUAUCUCUAAUACAUCUUUACUGGUCUUAUAAGCGAUACUGCAGGGUUACCACUUACCAUGAUACAUGAUUUCCACAGAAACACAAAUACAGGAGUAUAUUUGUUCUAGGACAGAGUGAAUUAUGAGGAGGAGACAUAACAGUAAGUACCAUCUUACCUUAAUCCCUGAUUAUAUCACUCAAAUUAGCCUCACUGUGCUACAUCUUUACUGGUCUUAUAAGCGAUACCGCAGGUUUACCAUUAUGAUACAUAAUUUCCACUGAAACACGAAUAUGGGAGUAUAUUUGUUCUAGGACAGAGUGGAUUAUGAUGAGGAGACAUAACAGUAAGUACCAUCUUACCUUAAUCACUGAUCAUUAACACUCAAAUUAGCCUUGCCGUGCUAUUUAUUGGCUGCCGUCAUGUAUGUUACUAUCAUACGGGUUACAGUGCUUAGAGAAAUUUGGAUUCCCGCAACCUGUUGGUACACUAUCUUGCUACUUACUGUCGGGUUAUCCUAUAUAAUUUCAUGAUUAUUAUUUUCCCAUGCCUUCUAUACUUGUGUUUGCAUAUGAAUGGAUGUUUGCACUAUUUGCCAUCCCAUACACGCUUAUUGGUUGCUCUUCUGGAUUAUUGUUAAAUUGUGCUAUCUAAUUUGCUACAUCAGAACAAUGAAACAUGGACGGUUAUGGUACAUGGAGGGUUGGAGUUUCAUUAUUCAUUUUGUCAUGCACACCAUAAAAAAAUCAAAAGAUGAUGUCGGAUUGUAGAGAAAUUAUUGAGCAUUGUAGGUUGUUCCCCUAGCUCUAUUGGAUGUCAUACACACUUCAUGUUUAAAACUUUCCUUCCAGUUGUGGUAGAACAUGUUACCUCAUUGUCGUGACUCGCUUUAGUAGGAGAUCUUGCAGCUUCCACUCAUCGGCGAUCUUAAUGGGGUUGCUAUGAACCAAAAUAUUCAGAGUAAAUAUGAAGAGUCUAUUCUGAUCCUAUUUCAGUUUAUUUAAAGAAUCAAGAAUGCCAAGUACAACGCAGCUCCUAAUUGUUACUCCCUCCAUUUCAAAAUAGAUGACUCAACUUUAUACUAACUUUAGUACAAAGUUGAGUCAUCUAUUUUGAAACGGAGGGAGUACUUUGCUGCGGCUGUAAACCAUGAAAUCAUUUGAGUAGGGAUUUUCUAUACAAGGUACAACCUAGAGGUAUAUGUCUUCCCAAGAAAUUAUCAUGCAAUUAUGAAUAAAUAAAAUUUAGUUUUAUUUCUGUACAACACUGCUUCCUAAGUAAUAAAAUAACUCUACCGAUGUAUGAUAUUCAUGAUGCCUCUCUGGAUGUUUGGAACAUAUCUUAUCUGACUUCUCAGGUGUGCUUUACAUGUACUAUCAUAUGCCCAUACUUUAUUUUUCCAGUUGUCAAGAUUUGGUCACACAAAUUUGUACAUUUUGUAGGUGAGAAAAUGCCUCAUUUGGAGCGACUAUAGGCUAACCAACUGUACAAGAAGUACUUAAGUGCUCUUAAAAUCCAACAUAGUUACUUGAGAGAAAUCGGUGCACGGUGCUGAUAAUUCUCUUUAUGUUUGUUCAGAAAUAUAUUUGUUCAACAUUUGAAAUGUAAAUAUCAAUAUUCCAUUUGAUCUCCAAAAUCAAAA